rnacentral:rRNA from 1 species
CAAGAGCGUAUAUUAAAGUUGCUGCGGUUAAAAAGCUCGUAGUUGGAUUUCAGUCUAGGAAGGUUAACUCGCCGAAAGGUUGUACGUUGAUUUUCCUCAGACUUCGUCAGAAGCUCGUGCUGCACUUAACUGUGUGGUACGAUGUUCUGACCUCUUACCUUGAGGAAAGUAAAGUGUUUCAGGCAGGCGACCCAGCUUGGAUACAUUAGCAUGGAAUAAUGAAAUGGAUCUCGGUUCGAUUUCGUUGGUUCUAGAGCUGAGGUGAUGAUCAAUAGGAACAGGCGAAGGUAUUCGUACUUGAGAGUGAGGAGUGAAAUCCGAUGAUCUCUUGAAGACGACCCGAGGCGAGCGCAUUUGUCAAGGAUGUUUUCAUUGA